rnacentral:lncRNA from 1 species
GCUUGCUUGAGAGACCAUACUCAAUCAUUGCCAGUUACUACUCACUGUUUUAUCUAAUGUCUCUGUUUUCAGUGUCAUCUGUGCAGUGGGGAUAAUAGCAGCACCAGCCUCAGCACUCAGAGAUGAACACUCAGCGAUCAAAGAUGAUGCUUAUAAAAUCCUUAGCCCACAGCCCUCACCUAGCAAACACUGCCUCACCUAUCAUCCCUGACACAGGAAGAAACAGAAAUACAAAGAGGUCAGGAAACUAGCCCACAUCAAGGAGGUGGUG